rnacentral:tRNA from 1 species
GGCGCUGUAGCCAAGCGGUAAGGCAGAGGUCUGCAAAACCUCCAUUCACCGGUUCGAUUCCGGUCAGCGCCUCCA